CCCUUAGAUGUCCUGGGCCGCACGCGCGUUACACUGAUGCAUUCAACGAGCUUAUAACCUUGGCCGAGAGGCCUGGGCAAUCUUGUUAACGUGCAUCGUGAUAGGGAUAGAUUAUUGAAAUUAUCAAUCUUGAACGAGGAAUUCCUAGUAAACGCAGAUCAUCAAUCUGCAUUGAUUACGUCCCUGCCCUUUGUACACACCGCCCGUCGCACCUACCGAUUGGAUGGUCCGGUGAAGCCUCGGGAUUGUGGUUCUUGCCGCUUUAUUGUGGCGUGACCGCGAGAACUUGUCUAAACCUUAUCAUCUAGAGGAAGGUGAAGUCGUAACA
rnacentral:rRNA from 1 species